CACGUAGGGCGCAAGCGUUGUCCGGAAUUAUUGGGCGUAAAGAGCUCGUAGGCGGUCUGUUGCGUCCGCUGUGAAAACUCGGGGCUUAACCCCGAGCCUGCAGUGGAUACGGGCAGACUAGAGUGCGGUAGGGGAGACUGGAAUUCCUGGUGUAGCGGUGAAAUGCGCAGAUAUCAGGAGGAACACCGGUGGCGAAGGCGGGUCUCUGGCCGAAACUGACGCUGAGGAGCGAAAGCGUGGGAGCGAACAGG
rnacentral:rRNA from 1 species